UGAGUAAUGCCUAGGAAUCUGCCAGGUAGUGGGGGACAACGUUUCGAAAGGAACGCUAAUACCGCAUACGUCCUACGGGAGAAAGCAGGGGACCUUCGGGCCUUGCGCUAUCAGAUGAGCCUAGGUCGGAUUAGCUAGUUGGUGAGGUAAUGGCUCACCAAGGCGACGAUCCGUAACUGGUCUGAGAGGAUGAUCAGUCACACUGGAACUGAGACACGGUCCAGACUCCUACGGGAGGCAGCAGUGGGGAAUAUUGGACAAUGGGCGAAAGCCUGAUCCAGCCAUGCCGCGUGUGUGAAGAAGGUCUUCGGAUUGUAAAGCACUUUAAGUUGGGAGGAAGGGCAGUAAGCUAAUACCUUGCUGUUUUGACGUUACCGACAGAAUAAGCACCGGCUAACUCUGUGCCAGCAGCCGCGGUAAUACAGAGGGUGCAAGCGUUAAUCGGAAUUACUGGGCGUAAAGCGCGCGUAGGUGGUUUGUUAAGUUGGAUGUGAAAGCCCCGGG
rnacentral:rRNA from 1 species